rnacentral:rRNA from 1 species
UACGUGGGGUGCAAGCGUUGUCCGGAAUUAUUGGGCGUAAAGAGCUCGUAGGCGGCUUGUCGCGUCGGCUGUGAAAACCUGGGGCUCAACCCCGGGCCUGCAGCCGAUACGGGCAGACUAGAGUUCGGCAGGGGAGACUGGAAUUCCUGGUGUAGCGGUGAAAUGCGCAGAUAUCAGGAGGAACACCGGUGGCGAAGGCGGGUCUCUGGGCCGAUACUGACGCUGAGGAGCGAAAGCGUGGGGAGCGAACAGG